CAGCGACGAUGUAUAUAGAAUAAAAUUAAGGUGACCAUUAAUUCCUUAAUUAUUCAUUCAUACAUAUACGUUCAAGCAUUACGUCUGGUGUACUGCAUAUUCACAAAAAUAAUAACAUAUUUAAAUAUGUAUAAUUAGAACGUGCAAUUUAUAGUUUAUAUGUAUUGCACUGGGAGGAAUAAACUUGCUCGUAGGAAAAUGUAACGUGUUUUAGAUAUGUAAGUAUAAUUCCCUAAUUGUUAGGAGAAAAACUAUGAGCUACUUAAUGAUACAUGCACUGGAUAAAAUAAAUUAACAUCAUUCGUGACUAAUGAGACCGGCCGAGUUCGGGGUCUCGCUGGCCAACGUAAUAUAUAUAAAGCACGAUUAGGAUGAGGACAGUGAUUGGCACACAAAGUUCUCGCAACAAAAUAAAUUAUAAGUACGUACACAUAUGUAGGUAAUGCCCUCCACAGUUACGACAAAAAUAGCUAAAUAAGUGCCAAACGAAAAUUGGCACAUAUAUGAAUAUGUACAUACAUAUAUACCGUACAUGCAAAUUAACUAGCAUAAUGGACAGGAAGGGUGAAAGUGAUGAAUAAAAACUUCUCUCGCAAGAUAAGAGAUUAUGAUAGCCAUUUAUUUAGUCAAUUCAAGUAGUCACGGGUAAUUUGUAAAGUCCAUAAGUUUGUAAAAUAAUUUUACGCCCUUGAUCUGACAAAAAUUGCAUUUACGGAGUUUACAAUGUCUCCAUGCAAGGAUUCCGUGAACUACCUCAUUUAUUCAUUCCCGUGUCCAGUAAAGUGAAAGUUUUCUGUUGUUUUGUGACCUGGCGUUAAACUUGGAUUUUAUUACAUAAACAUACUUAUACAGCUAUUCAAUCACAUUUACUAAGGAUAAGUAAUUCAAUUU